AACGAACGCUGGCGGCAGGCUUAACACAUGCAAGUCGAGCGCCCCGCAAGGGGAGCGGCAGACGGGUGAGUAACGCGUGGGAAUCUACCCAUCCCUACGGAAUAGCUCCGGGAAACUGGAAUUAAUACCGUAUACGCCCUACGGGGGAAAGAUGUAUCGGGGAUGGAUGAGCCCGCGUUGGAUGAGCUAGUUGGUGGGGUAAAGGCCUACCAAGGCGACGAUCCAUAGCUGGUCUGAGAGGAUGAUCAGCCACAUUGGGACUGAGACACGGCCCAAGCUCCUACGGGAGGCAGCAGUGGGGAAUAUUGGACAAUGGGGGCAACCCUGAUCCAGCCAUGCCGCGUGAGUGAUGAAGGCCUUAGGGUUGUAAAGCUCUUUCACCGGGGAAGAUAAUGACGGUACCCGGAGAAGAAGCCCCGGCUAACUUCGUGCCACCAGCCGCCGUAA
rnacentral:rRNA from 1 species